GUGAGUGGCGAACUGGUGAGUAACACGUGGGAAACCUGCCCAGAAGCGGGGGAUAACACCUGGAAACAGAUGCUAAUACCGCAUAACAACUUGGACCGCAUGGUCCGAGUUUGAAAGAUGGCUUCGGCUAUCACUUUUGGAUGGUCCCGCGGCGUAUUAGCUAGAUGGUGAGGUAACGGCUCACCAUGGCAAUGAUACGUAGCCGACCUGAGAGGGUAAUCGGCCACAUUGGGACUGAGACACGGCCCAAACUCCUACGGGAGGCCGCAGUAGGGAAUCUUCCACAAUGGACGAAAGUCUGAUGGAGCAACGCCGCGUGAGUGAAGAAGGGUUUCGGCUCGUAAAACUCUGUUGUUAAAGAAGAACAUAUCUGAGAGUAACUGUUCAGGUAUUGACGGUAUUUAACCAGAAAGCCACGGCUAACUACGUGCCAGCAGCCGCGGUAAUACGUAGGUGGCAAGCGUUGUCCGGAUUUAUUGGGCGUAAAGCGAGCGCAGGCGGUUUUUUAAGUCUGAUGUGAAAGCCUUCGGCUCAACCGAAGAAGUGCAUCGGAAACUGGGAAACUUGAGUGCAGAAGAGGACAGUGGAACUCCAUGUGUAGCGGUGAAAUGCGUAGAUAUAUGGAAGAACACCAGUGGCGAAGGCGGCUGUCUGGUCUGUAACUGACGCUGAGGCUCGAAAGUAUGGGUAGCAAACAGGAUUAGAUACCCUGGUAGUCCAUACCGUAAACGAUGAAUGCUAAGUGUUGGAGGGUUUCCGCCCUUCAGUGCUGCAGCUAACGCAUUAAGCAUUCCGCCUGGGGAGUACGGCCGCAAGGCUGAAACUCAAAGGAAUUGACGGGGGCCCGCACAAGCGGUGGAGCAUGUGGUUUAAUUCGAAGCUACGCGAAGAACCUUACCAGGUCUUGACAUACUAUGCAAAUCUAAGAGAUUAGACGUUCCCUUCGGGGACAUGGAUACAGGUGGUGCAUGGUUGUCGUCAGCUCGUGUCGUGAGAUGUUGGGUUAAGUCCCGCAACGAGCGCAACCCUUAUUAUCAGUUGCCAGCAUUAAGUUGGGCACUCUGGUGAGACUGCCGGUGACAAACCGGAGGAAGGUGGGGAUGACGUCAAAUCAUCAUGCCCCUUAUGACCUGGGCUACACACGUGCUACAAUGGAUGGUACAACGAGUUGCGAACUCGCGAGAGUAAGCUAAUCUCUUAAAGCCAUUCUCAGUUCGGAUUGUAGGCUGCAACUCGCCUACAUGAAGUCGGAAUCGCUAGUAAUCGCGGAUCAGCAUGCCGCGGUGAAUACGUUCCCGGGCCUUGUACACACCGCCCGUCACACCAU
rnacentral:rRNA from 1 species